rnacentral:lncRNA from 1 species
CUUUAGAAAAAGUGAAUAGAAAUCAAUGAAAUUUUAACACAAGGUUUAUGACCACAAAAGGAAGGUUGGGAUUGAUUUUGGGAGUUUUGGUCCCAACAUUUUAGGAAUUAGGGGCCAAAAAGGCCCAAAUAAGCAUUUUCUUGGUUUUCGCACUAUAACUUUAGUUUAAGUGAAUAAAAAUCUAUGAAAUUUUGACACAAGGUUUAUGACCACAAAAGGAAGGUUGGGAUUGAUUUUGGGAGUUUUGGUUCCAACAGUUUAGGAAUUAAGGGCCAAAAAAGGGCCCAAAUAAGCAUUAUUCUUGGUUUUCGCACAAUAACUUUAGUAUAAGUAAAUAGAAAUCAAUGAAAUUUU